rnacentral:rRNA from 1 species
CAGCAGCCACGGUAAUACAGAGGGUGCAAGCGUUAAUCGGAAUUACUGGGCGUAAAGCGCGCGUAGGUGGUUUGUUAAGUUGAAUGUGAAAUCCCCGGGCUCAACCUGGGAACUGCAUCCAAAACUGGCAAGCUAGAGUAGGGUAGAGGGUGGUGGAAUUUCCUGUGUAGCGGUGAAAUGCGUAGAUAUAGGAAGGAACACCAGUGGCGAAGGCGACCACCUGGACUCAUACUGACACUGAGGUGCGAAAGCGUGGGGAGCAAACAGGAUUAGAUACCCCUGUAGUCCCUGUCUCUUAUAC